CCUACGGGUGGCAGCAGUGGGGAAUAUUGCACAAUGGUGGAAACCCUGAUGCAGCGACGCCGCGUGAGUGAAGAAGUAUCUCGGUAUCUAAAGCUCUAUUAGCCGGGACGAAGAAAGACGGUACCUGACUAAGAAGCGCCUGCUAACUACGUGCCCGCAGCCUCGGUAAUACGUAGGGGUCAAGCGUUAUCCGGAGUUACUGGGUGUAAAGGGAGCGUAGAGGGCUGUGCAGGUCUGAAGUGAAAGCCCAGGGCUCAAACCUGGGCCUGCUGUGGAAACUGUGGAGCUCGAGUGCUGGAGAGGUAGGUGGAAUUCCUGGUGUAGCGGUGAAAUGCGUAGAUAUUAGGAGGAACACCAGUGGCGAAGGCGGCAUGCUGGACAGUAACUGACGCUGAGGCUCGAAAGCGUGGGGAGCAAACAGGAUUAGAUACCCCAGUAGUC
rnacentral:rRNA from 1 species